CAGUGGGGAAUAUUGGACAAUGGGCGAAAGCCUGAUCCAGCAAUGCCGCGUGUGUGAAGAAGGUCUUCGGAUUGUAAAGCACUUUCGACGGGGACGAUGAUGACGGUACCCGUAGAAGAAGCCCCGGCUAACUUCGUGCCAG
rnacentral:rRNA from 1 species